rnacentral:rRNA from 1 species
CCAUCGAGUCUUUGAACGCAAGUUGCGCCCCAAGCCGUCAGGCCGAGGGCACGUCUGCCUGGGUGUCACGCAUCGUUGCCCCCCCCCAGAUCAUGCGAUACUGCGGCGGCGGGCGGAGAUUGGCCUCCCGCGUGCCCGCGCGCGCGGUUGGCCCAAAUUCGAGCUCUCGGCGACGCUUCCCGCGACRAUCGGUGGCGUUCGAAACGGAACCUAGUGAUCCUGUCGCGCGGUGGCGAUCUCCCGACCGAAGGGCUCCUCGACCCUCGAGAGCGGGCGACGGCCCGCUCGCUUCGCGACCCCAGGUCAGGCGGGAUCACCCGCUGAGUUUAAGCAUAUCAAUAAGCGGAGGAAAAGAAACUUACCAGGAUUCCCCUAGUAACGGCGAGCGAACCGGGAA